UCUCCGUUGGUGAACCAGCGGAGGGAUCAUUACCGAGUUAUACAACUCAUCAACCCUGUGAACAUACCUAAAACGUUGCCUCGGCGGGAACAGACGGCCCCGUAACACGGGCCGCCCCCGCCAGAGGACCCCCUAACUCUGUUUCUAUAAUGUUUCUUCUGAGUAAACAAGCAAAUAAAUUAAAACUUUCAACAACGGAUCUCUUGGCUCUGGCAUCGAUGAAGAACGCAGCGAAAUGCGAUAAGUAAUGUGAAUUGCAGAAUUCAGUGAAUCAUCGAAUCUUUGAACGCACAUUGCGCCCGCCAGUAUUCUGGCGGGCAUGCCUGUUCGAGCGUCAUUACAACCCUCAGGCCCCCGGGCCUGGCGUUGGGGAUCGGCGGAAGCCCCCUGCGGGCACAACGCCGUCCCCCAAAUACAGUGGCGGUCCCGCCGCAGCUUCCAUUGCGUAGUAGCUAACACCUCGCAACUGGAGAGCGGCGCGGCCACGCCGUAAAACACCCAACUUCUGAAUGUUGACCUCGAAUCAGGUAGGAAUACCCGCUGAACUUAA
rnacentral:rRNA from 1 species